CACACCAAGAUGGCGGCCCUCACGCCGCCCAGCCCGUGCUGCGUCAUGGCCCGGCCGCGCCGCCGCCGCCCCGGCCGCCGCCACAGGUGCCGCGGCUGGGAAGGCUCCUCCGGCGGCGCCGGGUGCGCUGGCCCCGGCGCCACCAGGUACUGUCGCUUCCUGCAGCAUCGCUUCUUAAAAUUCAGCGUUUUUUGUGCGUAUCAAAGCCAUUGAGUUGUUUAAAAUCAUUGUAUUCUCUCUCACAACUUGUGCUUUUUCUGUUUAGGCUUCUGGAAGUUUUUAUUAAAAGAACGCUAAUCGGGGGGAGCUCGUUCUUGCUGCCUGCACACCUGAUAA